AAGUCGUAACAAGGUUUCCGUAGGUGAACCUGCGGAAGGAUCAUUACAGUAGUUUUGAAGACUAUUUUUGUUUGCCAGCUUCUCAGCUGUGCGAAUGAGAAUUAGUUCUCUCAACCACUUGUUGUGCUUUUUAGAACUCGUCUUUGGUGGUUAAACUUGUUUCUCUUGAUUGUUUGAUACAAGGCACCCGUCUUCUGUAAAAGGGAGACCAACUCGUGUUUUUUGCGCUUUUAUGCGAAAAACGACAAGUGUUUUUGUAUGGUUUGUGUGUUUGCACAUUCAAAAUGAAAACACUUGGAAGAGGGGCCACCGCUUUUUAUAUAACAAACUAUAUGUCUGUAUUUACCUUUUUUUUGUUGAAAUAAUUCAAAAACAUUUUAACAAUAACAACUUUUGACAACGGAUCUCUUGGCUCUC
rnacentral:misc_RNA from 1 species